rnacentral:rRNA from 1 species
AGAGUUUGAUCAUGGCUCAGAACGAACGUUCGCGGCGCGCCUAACACAUGCAAGUCGUGCGAGAAAGGGCUUCGGCCCCGGUAAAGCGGCGCACGGGUGAGUAACACGUAGGUAAUCUUCCCUCAGGUGGUGGAUAACCUUCCGAAAGGAGGGCUAAUACAGCAUGAGACCACGUCCUCGUCAGAGGAUGAGGUCAAAGUCGGCCUCUUCAUGAAAGCUGACGCCAGAGGAUGAGCCUGCGGCCCAUCAGCUUGUUGGUAGGGUAACGGCCUACCAAGGCUAUGACGGGUAGCUGGUCUGAGAGGAUGAUCAGCCACACUGGAACUGAGACACGGUCCAGACUCCUACGGGAGGCAGCAGUGGGGAAUCUUGCGCAAUGGGGGAAACCCUGACGCAGCGACGCCGCGUGAGUGAUGAAGGCCUUCGGGUUGUAAAGCUCUGUGGAGAGGGACGAAUAAGUGUUGGCUAACAUCCAGCACGAUGACGGUACCUUUUUAGCAAGCACCGGCUAACUCUGUGCCAGCAGCCGCGGUA